CAGAUCAGAAUCGCCAAAACAUCUAACUCGCGUAAGGUUCAUCUCCUUGGCGAGUCGCAAGCCGUGAAGCAAAGCUUCAUAUUCCGCAGCAUUGUUAGUGCACGGAAACAUGAGUCAGAGGACAUAACAGAAUUUAUCUCCUUGAGGGGACACCAGUACCACACCAUCCCCCGAGCCUUCCAGCUGUCUGGAUCCAUCAAAAUAAAUAG
rnacentral:lncRNA from 1 species